AUGAACCAGGAGGCAGAAGAGCAAGUUCGCAUCAUUCGUGAGAAUUUGAAAACAGCCCAAUCUCGUCAAAAGAGCCAGUAUGACCGUCGUCAUAAGGAAGUGGCUUAUGAAGUUGGCGACAAGGCUUACCUUCGGGUUACUCCUUUGAAGGGUACCCAUCGUUUCGGUAUCAAGGGCAAGUUGGCUCCUCGUUACAUCGGUCCUUUUCGCAUUCUCGCUAAACGAGGAGAGGUUGCCUACCAGUUGGAACUACCCCCACAUCUUUCUCGAGUUCAUGAUGUCUUCCACGUCUCUCAACUCAGGCAUUGCUUCUUGGAUCCCAUCCAUGGAGUGGACCACGAAACGCUUGAUCUCCAAGAUAACCUCACUUAUCGAGAGUACCCCGUUCGCAUUCUGGAUCAAGCAGAGCGUGUCACUCGACGUCAUAACAUCAAGUUUCUCAAGGUUCAGUGGUCUCAUCAUGCCGAGAGAGAAGCUACUUGGGAGCGAGAAGAUCGUCUUUGA
rnacentral:rRNA from 1 species